AUUGAACGCUGGCGGCAGGCCUAACACAUGCAAGUCGAGCGGAUGAAGGGAGCUUGCUCCUGGAUUCAGCGGCGGACGGGUGAGUAAUGCCUAGGAAUCUGCCUGGUAGUGGGGGAUAACGUCCGGAAACGGGCGCUAAUACCGCAUACGUCCUGAGGGAGAAAGUGGGGGAUCUUCGGACCUCACGCUAUCAGAUGAGCCUAGGUCGGAUUAGCUAGUUGGUGGGGUAAAGGCCUACCAAGGCGACGAACCGUAACUGGUCUGAGUGGAUGAGCAGUCACACUGGAACUGAGACACGGUCCAGACUCCUACGGGAGGCAGCAGUGGGGAAUAUUGGACAAUGGGCGAAAGCCUGAUCCAGCCAUGCCGCGUGUGUGAAGAAGGUCUUCGGAUUGUAAAGCACUUUAAGUUGGGAGGAAGGGCAGUAAGUUAAUACCUUGCUGUUUUGACGUUACCAACAGAAUAAGCACCGGCUAACUUCGUG
rnacentral:rRNA from 1 species